GACAGAGGGUGCAAACGUUGUUCGGAUUUACUGGGCGUAAAGCGCGUGUAGGCGGCUUUGCAAGUCGGAUGUGAAAGCCCACGGCUCAACCGUGGAAGUGCAUCCGAAACUGCAUGGCUCGAGUCUCGGAGAGGAAGGUGGAAUGCUUGGUGUAGAGGUGAAAUUCGUAGAUAUCAAGCAGAACACCCGUGGCGAAGGCGGCUCUCUGGGACGUGACUGACGCUGAGACGCGAAAGCGUGAGGAGCGAACAGG
rnacentral:rRNA from 1 species